GACGAACGCUGGCGGCGUGCUUAACACAUGCAAGUCGAACGAUGAAGCUAGAGCUUGCUCUGGUGAAUUAGUGGCGAACGGGUGAGUAACACGUGAGUAACCUGCCCCGAACUCUGGGAUAACUGCUGGAAACGGUAGCCAAUACUGGAUACGACCUACGAAGGCAUCUUCUGUAAGGUGGAAAGAAUUUCGGUUCGGGAUGGACUCGCGGCCUAUCAGCUUGUGGUGAGGUAAUGGCUCACCAAGGCGACGACGGGUAGCCGGCCUGAGAGGGUGACCGGCCACACUGGGACUGAGACACGGCCCAGACUCCUACGGAGGCAGCAGUGGGAAUAUUGCACAAUGGGCGCAAGCCUGAUGCAGCAACGCCGCGUGAGGGAUGACGG
rnacentral:rRNA from 1 species